UACGUAGGUGGCAAGCGUUGUCCGGAUUUAUUGGGUUUAAAGGGUGCGUAGGCGGCUUUGUAAGUCAGUGGUGAAAUAUCGCAGCUUAACUGUGAGGGUGCCAUUGAUACUGCAGAGCUUGAGUACAGAUGAGGUAGGCGGAAUUGACGGUGUAGCGGUGAAAUGCUUAGAUAUCGUCAAGAACACCUAUAGCGAAGGCAGCUUACUAGGCUGUAACUGACGCUGAGGCACGAAAGUGUGGGGAGCAAACAGG
rnacentral:rRNA from 1 species